rnacentral:sRNA from 1 species
AGAAAAGUAGGUGCCGCCCCGCACAGGGGCAACGCUAAUAGACCACUAACAAAACAAGGAAAGGCCAAAAGAGCAAAAAAAACCAGCUCACCCCCUCAACCCCUC